GUCUGCCUCCCGGCCAUACUGCGCUGCGACCGAGUCCCCGACUGUCCUCAUGGAGAGGAUGAGCACGGCUGCCCUCUGCUGCAGUGUGAGCUGGGAGAACUGGUGUGUGAAGGAUCGCCCGGUUGUAUCCCACUUCAAAAGCGAUGUGACCACUCUGCCGACUGUCUGCCGUUCCUCUCCGAUGAGUCCAGCUGCCAUGAUUGUCCUCCGA